rnacentral:rRNA from 1 species
GAAAGCCCGGGGCUCAACCUCGGAACCGCAUUUGAAACUGGCAGGCUAGAGUCUUGUAGAGGGGGGUAGAAUUUCAGGUGUAGCGGUGAAAUGCGUAGAGAUCUGAAGGAAUACCAGUGGCGAAGGCGGCCCCCUGGACAAAGACUGACGCUCAGAUGCGAAAGCGUGGGUAGCAAACAGGAUUAGAUACCCUGGUAGUCCACGCCGUAAACGCUGUCUACUUGGAGGUUGAGGUUUAGACUUUGGCUUUCGGCGCUAACGCAUUAAGUAGACCGCCUGGGGAGUACGGCCGCAAGGUUAAAACUCAAAUGAAUUGACGGGGGCCCGCACAAGCGGUGGAGCAUGUGGUUUAAUUCGAUGCAACGCGAAGAACCUUACCUACUCUUGACAUCCAGCGAAGCCUUUAGAGAUAGAGGUGUGCCUUCGGGAGCGCUGAGACAGGUGCUGCAUGGCUGUCGUCAGCUCGUGUUGUGAAAUGUUGGGUUAAGUCCCGCAACGAGCGCAACCCUUAUCCUUGUUUGCCAGCGAGUAAUGUCGGGAACUCCAGGGAGACUGCCGGUGAUAAACCGGAGGAAGGUGGGGACGACGUCAAGUCAUCAUGGCCCUUACGAGUAGGGCUACACACGUGCUACAAUGGCAGAUACAGAGGGCAGCGACGCUGCGAAGUAGAGCGAAUCCCUUAAAGUCUGUCGUAGUCCGGAUUGGAGUCUGCAACUCGACUCCAUGAA